CAUUUCUUUACAUUAACUAACACACGAACAUCAAUGUUUUCCCUCUAAUUAGCAAAGAGACGAUUAGCCUCUUGGCUCUGAAAACUGUAAUUUAAUAACAUACCUAGUUACUAUGACUAGGUCCAAGAUUGAUAUAACAAUAUAAUCACUCUUGUCUGUAUUC